GCGCGCUUAGCUCAGUUGGUAGAGCACUCGAUUUACACUCGAGGUGUCGGGGGUUCGAGUCCCUCAGCGCGCA
rfam:Candidatus Nomurabacteria bacterium RIFCSPLOWO2_01_FTLL_41_12 rifcsplowo2_01_scaffold_885, whole genome shotgun sequence.